CAAGAAUCUGGAUACCGCGCCGAGAGGAGCCCACUCUCCGGUAACAAAGGGAUCGGGCAUUCGGCACAUAAAGAAAACGGGACUACGAAACCUCUAUACAUGAAUUCUCUCAUCCUUGCAACAACGCUUUAAAGUAACCUGCCUUUUAUUUCUUUUACAUCCUAAGAAGAGAUGGCUCUCUGCCGGUAUCUCUAAAGCGGGCCCAGCUUCAGGCCAGCAGUUCAUUCCCCUCCUGGGAAGAAAAUGCCUGUACGCGGAUGGCAGCCAGCACAUACUUUACUCACAACAGUCAGCAGAUGGCUGUGGAUCCCUUCUGUUCCCAGGAAUCACAUCGGGACUAAUUGCAUUGUGCAUUUUCCAUCAUUGGUAGCUAAUCCCAACAGUGACGUCGGGCAUCAUUAUUAGUAGACGAAGGACAGACAAAGAGAGAGGGGAAAUGACUUGGGCUGAGUCACACAGCAAAGUUAGAACCCCGAGCUCCCAGCGACUAACCUCGCCCUGGGCUCUGUCCCACAUACCUGGCAGCUCCAGAGACUUGCUGUUUUUGUACUCUGGGCAACAAACUCUCUGGCUAAUCAAGCGGGUCUGACUUGUCUUGUGGAGAAAUGAAGCAAAAUCUUUCUUGGGAUGGUAUCAUCUAAUCUUUCUGCUUUUCCUGGUUGGCAGGAAACCAGAGUCCUCAAUUUUUGCUGAAUGACCAUGAACACAAUAUUGAAAGUCUCUGGACUCUCAGUUUUCCCUUCAGUAAAAUACGGACAAGAAUUAUUGAUGCCCACGCCCAGAGAAACUGGAUGAGCUAGGGAGAGAAGGAUUGGGUGCACUUAUCCAAUCUAUUCUGCAUUAUUCUUUACACUGGUGAACACCAAACCUGGCAGAACAGCAUAAUCACAUGGAUAACCUGAAAAAAUACAAAUUCCUGGGCCUUGACCAGCCCAGCUUCCUUGGAUUUUUCCUCUUUUCUCCUGGACAUAGCCCCCAAUGUGAAGGGAACCCCUGUGAGUUGAGCAGUGGGGUGGUCUUUAACUUUUCUAUUUAAAUCCUCUCCAACUUAGUUGAAAGGCACCUUCUCUAUGAGAUGGAACGCAUUGUAACCUGUCUCCUCUGCGCUCUUCCUUGGAUUCACUGUUUCCCAGUUUUGGUACUUCUCACAUAUUGCCUAUUAUUUUCACUUAACUCUUUCACACCUUUGCCUCUUGUGUCCUCAGUUAGCUACUGGAGAAUAAGAACCCUUCUCUUAUUGCCCUACAAAUGUCAGCUCCGGUAGCACAUAGUAUGUGCUCAAUCAAUAUUUGUUGACUUGCAAAUCCUCUGAUUAGGAAACUCUGGAAUAAUUUCUUACUUAUUAUGGGAGGUGCUCUGUGUCCUUUGGAAGCUUUCUGAUCACAUGGAAGGAACUUUAAAUGAAGAGGCAGGAGCCUUAGCUUCCAAUCCUGGCUGUGUAAUAAACUCCCAUUGUGACUUGCAGCAAAUCACUUGCUUUCUCUAGCCUUUAAUUCCCUCAUUGGUGAAACCAGGGCUGAUCUGUAAAGGUUUUUUUAGCUCUGGCUUUGGGCUACUCUAGAUAGCAAGGGGCAGCCUUUUCCAUGUUAGUGUCAUUAAGGCCCACAAUACCUAUUUUUUCCUAUUAGUACUUCCCAAUUGAUGGGUCAUCCCCAGUUUAUAAAAUGAGAAACUCAAGCAAAGAGUAAAUAAAUGCUUUGGCCAAGCUUCCAUGCAUAGCGUGUGUCCAUGUGUGUAUGGGAAGCUCACUCCUCACCCCAGGCCCUUGACUUUGACUGGAUUCUUCCAUCCCAGAGCUAUUCAGCAGUCCUUCCCAAGUCUAGGAUUGUCAACACUUAAUAAUCUACAUGCCCCCUCUCUCCUCUAUGAAUGAUGCAGGGCAAAGGUAUAACAUUCCAACUGGGUUUCCUCUUGUUCCUCUGCACACUCCCAUCCAGGGCCAGAAUGCCAUAUUCAGUAUGAUCUGUUCAAAAACUGUUCUCUGAGGAGAAGAUGAAAGACAAGACACGAAUCCUUGCCCUCACAGAACUUCUAGUCUGCCUGGGAAGUGGGGACAAGAACGUGUGGGGAAAAGAUGUGCUACUAUACAUGAGGGAGGAUCUGGGAGCCAAGUGCUUCUUUGACACAUCUCCAGCACCUAGAACAGUGCCUGGUACAUAGAAGAUGCUCAACAAAUGCAUCAAAAUAGGUGAAAAAUGCCAUGGUUUUCAAACUUUUUCUUUUAAAGAGCGGAAAGCCUUUCUUCAGUGAAACAGGUGGAUGUAAGGCUGCCUGCUGUCUCCUCUGGGCCACAGAGACCAGUUAGAACACUUACUGCAGUCAGUUGGAAAGGAGAUACAGAUCAAGUCUUGCUCUUUUUCCUGAUAAACCUUAGCCACGGGGAUCCUGCCAAAAUAAGUGGAGAUUUGAAGAAUCUGGUCCUCCAAAGGGAAUAUUUCCAUCUGAAAAAGUGUUGUCAAUCUUUCCUCUCCCCUCCUUCUGCAGAGCUCCAACUAGUAAGGGUGGAGGGGAGGAAGUUUUGAGUAGAGGACUUCUGAGUUGGUCCACAGAUCAAUGUAAUGUUUGUUUACUUUAAAUAAAGAAGGAAAGAAAAUCAAUGUGGUAAUGUUUUUCAGUAUUCGG